GGAUAUGAGAAGAAUCUGGCUGCGACAUCUAUCACCCCGCUGAUUGCUAGGGUUGAUUUGGCUUAGCUGGCUGGCUAGGCAGAUGUCCCCCUCCUCACUCACUGCUCCAUGUGUGCUCCUCCUAAAGCUGUGCACCUGGUUGAAGAGGAUGACCUUCCCAGAUAAAAGAGGACCAUUCUCUGGUCGAGGGUAUACUAGUAGCUGCACUCCCCUGCUAGAACCUCCAAACAAGCACUCAAAGGCACAAGCAAACAAAGGAAAAGUAGAUAAACUGACAUAAUCAGAAGUAUAUCGAGAAAGUUAAGAGAAACUGACAGAAUGGAAAUGUUUCCAAAUAAUUUAUCU
rnacentral:snRNA from 1 species